UACGGAGGGUCCAAGCGUUAUCCGGAAUCAUUGGGUUUAAAGGGUCCGUAGGCGGUUUUAUAAGUCAGUGGUGAAAUCUGGUCGCUCAACGAUCAAACGGCCAUUGAUACUGUAAGACUUGAAUUACUUGGAAGUAACUAGAAUAUGUAGUGUAGCGGUGAAAUGCUUAGAGAUUACAUGGAAUACCAAUUGCGAAGGCAGGUUACUACAAGUAUAUUGACGCUGAUGGACGAAAGCGUGGGGAGCGAACAGG
rnacentral:rRNA from 1 species